rnacentral:rRNA from 1 species
GAUGAACGCUAGCGGCAGGCCUAACACAUGCAAGUCGAGGGGUAGAAGGAGCUUGCUCCUUUGAGACCGGCGCACGGGUGCGUAACGCGUAUGCAAUCUACCUUGUACAGGGGAAUAGCCCAGAGAAAUUUGGAUUAAUGCCCCAUAGUAUAUAACCUUCGCAUGUUGGUUAUAUUAAAGUUCCAACGGUACAAGAUGAGCAUGCGUCCCAUUAGUUAGUUGGUAAGGUAACGGCUUACCAAGACGAUGAUGGGUAGGGGUCCUGAGAGGGAGAUCCCCCACACUGGUACUGAGACACGGACCAGACUCCUACGGGAGGCAGCAGUGAGGAAUAUUGGUCAAUGGUCGCAAGAUUGAACCAGCCAUGCCGCGUGCAGGAAGACGGUCCUAUGGAUUGUAAACUGCUUUUAUACAGGAAGAAACCCUCCCACGUGUGGGAGCUUGACGGUACUGUAGGAAUAAGGAUCGGCUAACUCCGUG